UACGUAGGGUGCGAGCGUUUAAUCGGAAUUACUGGGCGUAAAGCGUGCGCAGGCGGUUGUGCAAGACAGAUGUGAAAUCCCCGGGCUCAACCUGGGAAUUGCAUUUGUGACUGCACGGCUAGAGUGUGUCAGAGGGGGGUAGAAUUCCACGUGUAGCAGUGAAAUGCGUAGAGAUGUGGAGGAAUACCGAUGGCGAAGGCAGCCCCCCUGGGAUAACACUGACGCUCAUGCACGAAAGCGUGGGGAGCAAACAGG
rnacentral:rRNA from 1 species